rnacentral:rRNA from 1 species
AGCAAUAGUAAAAAGCUAGCUCAUGUUCCGGCAGUCGCGACUGAGAGGUCGAUCGACCACAUUGGGUCUGAAAAAAGCCCACGGCAGAUUGUACAGCAGUGGGGUAUAUUGGUCAAUAGCCUAACGGCUGAACCAGCAACUUGGAAGAAUGUAUAACGAAUAAGUCGUAUAAAAUUCUAGGUAGAAGAAUGAUAGUGACAAUUUUCUAUCUAUAAGUCUUGACCAAAUUACGUGCCAGCAGUCGCGGUAACACGUAGAAGACUAGUGUUAUUCAUCUUUAUUAGGUUUAAAGGGUACCUAGACGGAAAAUCAAGCCAUAAUAGGGACUAAUUUUCUAGAGUUUUAUGAGAGAAGGGGUGAAUUUCCGGAGGAAAGUUGAUAUUUAGUGAUACUGGAAGGACGGGUAACGGCGAAGGCAACCUUGUAUGUAAAAACUGACGUUGAGGGACGAAGCCUUGGGUAACGAGAAGGAUUAGAUACCCUAGUAGUCCUUGGAGACAAUUAUGAAUGUCAUAGGCUAGAUAAUUUAGCCUAUAAAUGAAAGUGUAAGCAUUCCACCUCAUGAGUAAAGCGGCAACGCCCAAAUUGAAAUCAUUAGACCGUUUCUGAAACCAGUAGUGAAGUAUGUUAUUUAAUUCGAUGAUCCGCGAAUAACCUUACCACAAUUUGAAUAUUAUUCNAUUAUUACAAGCGCUGCACGGCUGUCUUCAGUUAAUGUCGUGAGAUUUUGGUUCGUUCCUUUAAUUAACGAAAACCCUUGCUUUAUUUGUUUUUAUAAAGUAGUUCACCGUGAUAUUGGAUGAGAUAAUAGGGACUAAGACAAGUCAUCAUGGCCUUA